UACGAGGGGGGCAAGCGUUGUUCGGAAUUAUUGGGCGUAAAGGGUGCGUAGGCGGUUUGACAAGUCUCAUGUGAAAUCUUCGGGCUCAACCCGAAGUCUGCAUGGGAAACUGUCGGGCUUGAGUAUGGGAGAGGUGAGUGGAAUUUCCGGUGUAGCGGUGAAAUGCGUAGAUAUCGGAAGGAACACCUGUGGUGAAAGCGGCUCACUGGACCAUAACUGACACUGAGGUGCGAAAGCGUGGGUAGCAAACAGG
rnacentral:rRNA from 1 species